GACGAACGCUGGCGGCGUGCUUAACACAUGCAAGUCGAACGGAAAGGCCCCUUUGGGGGUACUCGAGUGGCGAACGGGUGAGUAACACGUGAGUAACCUUCCCUUUCCUUCUUGUUAACUUCAGGAAACUGGGGCUAAUUCCGGAUAUGACUCCUUGCUGCAUGGUGUGGGUUGGGAAGCUUCUGGGGUUUUGGAUGGGCUCGCGGCUUAUCGGCUUGUUGGUGGGGUAGUGGCUUACCAAGGCUUUGACGGGUAGCCGGCCUGAGAGGGUGACCGGCCACAUUGGGACUGAGAGACGGCCCAGACUGCGACGGGAGGAAGCAGGGGGGAAGAUUGCACAAGGGGCGGAAGCCGGAUGCAGAAGCGCCGCGGGCGGGAUGACGGCCUUCGGGUGGUAAAACGGUUUCAGCAGGGGCGAAGCUUGUGGUGACGGUACCUGCAGAAGAAGCACCGGCUAACUACGUG
rnacentral:rRNA from 1 species